AAGGGUAGGUAAUGCAUCUAAUAACCACAACAUCAACAGCACACGGAGAAUAUCGUAAAAAGCAUUUUUGAAGACAUCUUAGUUACGGCAACAGAGCCUGCGAGGAUGUCUAAUGGAGCAGUUGUGUUAAUUCCCUCAAACGUUGCUGGUGUAUACCAAGCAGGCCAGAAUUUCCCUGGUCCCCAACCGGCAGGAACAGUGCACUGUGUACAAUAUGCAGGACAACAGUAUGGAAGUCCCAACAACCAAGAAAAUCAAGGCGGGUUGUUGAAUAAACUCCGUAAAGCCGAGACCAAGCCUCUUGGGGCAAUCCAGAUCUUAACUGGAGUGAUCUUGAUUGGCUUGGGGGUUAUCUCAUUUUUUACUACUG